GGGCCCGUGGCGUAGCCUGGAUAGCGCGUCGGCCCUCUAAGCCGGAGAUCCUGGGUUCGAAUCCCAGCGGGCCCGCCA
rnacentral:tRNA from 1 species